rnacentral:rRNA from 1 species
UCCCAUUCCGAACUCAGAAGUGAAACGAAAUAGCGCCGAUGGUAGUGUGGGGUUUCCCCAUGUGAGAGUAGGACAUCACCAGGC